rnacentral:rRNA from 1 species
AUCGGUUGCAACAAGGUUAUUGUCAAUUCACAUAAUAUUGAGGUUAUCAGUACGAUGAAUGAAGGAGGGCGAUCUGCAGGUCCAUCGGCAACAAUCUUUGAUGAUUGCUAUCAUAUUAUCGCGUGCAGCUUCUCUUAUACCUCAUUUGUGCACUGUCCUAGGGAGGCUAAUUAUGUUGCUCGUGAAUUAGUGAAUUUGGCUAAGGCCUGUCUUGUAAUAGUUUUUUUUGUUGAGCCUCCUAGUGAGUUCAUCCCUCUCUUAUUAAGUGAUGUAAUCUUGGUUGAAUCGUAA